CAACGAGGCACUUCAUGGUGUGCCUCGCACAUGAUGCGACGGUAUGAGGGAGUUGGGUGGGCCGCUGACUCUGAGAGAAGUCCCGGUGACCUGAACCUAUUCCAGUGAAGCCAGUCAGCAGUGAAUGUGGGGCAAGUGCAUGCGGCUGGUCUACAGCUCCCACUGCCUGGUGACCAAGGAGCAUCCUGAAGUUUCAGAGAAGAGACUGUGUGACAGCAGCAUCGUUCCAGCUACUGAGCAAGAUCCUUCAGCAGGUAAGAAGUGGCAGAGAAGUCACCUGCUGAAGGAGCGGGCAGGGAGUUGGCCGUCCACGCGGAGCCUGGCCUUUCCUUUAGGGGACCCUGAAGUCUGUGACCGCCCCGCCAACACCUGUGAGUGUAACACAGUGCCCGUUACACAUUCACACUCCAUCACAGAUAACACACAGGGCCUCAGGGACUGCAACACAUGCAUGUGAAGUGACGCACGACAAAUUAAGAGUGAGUGAGUGAGAAUGAAAGCUCAUGCUUAGCCCUGUGAAAAAUAAAAAUCAGAUAGCAAAAUGCAAAGUUAAAUCACAGACACCUGGACCACAAAUAAUCUACCCCAGUUGUAAUAUGUAUUUUAACGGAGACCACAAAUUUUUCCAAAAACCUGCUUGAAUUAGAAAACUUAAGGCCAUUUAUAUGAAAUAAGGGUUUUAAGCACAGCUGUACAGUUUAGGACAGUAAGAGCUCCCAAGAUGUCUACAUAGCUUUCCAAAUCUCUUAUCAGUCAGUCUCUCCGUGUGUCGUGGGAGCUGCCUGCGCUUCCGUGAACGGGACACUGAGAAAUGCUUCAAUAUGUGCCACGCCAUUCCAGAAAACUCCCUGCAGAAGCAGCUCUUCCUGCAGCACUCAAUCUUCUGCUGAGAUGCAAAAUAUAUUUUAAAAUGUAUUUUAAAGUCAUACAGGAUCUGAUCUAGUAAGAAUGGCAAAACAAAUACUUCCUGGGCAUUUCAAAUGAGGUCAUUUUAGUUGAAAUGUAUACCAACAAUUUUCGAAGUCAGAGGAAGAAAAAAGAGAAAAAUGGCAAACCCAAUGUUUAAUACACCAAAUACCUUUAGGGUACUUAGAGAGUGAACAGUCUUAUUACGUGUUAUUUUCCUGGACUUCUUUUAUGUGGCAGAUAUUUAUGUUUUCAUCAUGGUUGAAGAAGCUGCUUGGAAACAGGUGAGCUGCAAGUGCAUGCUACUCUUGAACUUGUUCAGGAGCUCUU
rnacentral:lncRNA from 1 species